CCUACGGGUGGCAGCAGUGAGGAAUAUUGGUCAAUGGCCGAGAGGCUGAACCAGCCAAGUCGCGUGAGGGAAGAAUGUCCUAUGGAUUGUAAACCUCUUUUGUCAGGGAGCAAAGUCACCCACGUGUGGGUGUUGGAGAGUACCUGAAGAAAAAGCAUCGGCUAACUCCGUGCCAGCAGCCGCGGUAAUACGGAGGUCCGGGCGUUAUCCGGAUUUAUUGGGUUUAAAGGGAGCGUAGGCCGCAUGUCAAGCGUGCUGUGAAAUGUCCGGGCUCAACCCGGGCCUUGCAGCGCGAACUGGCGUGCUUGAGUCCGCGGAAAGCAGGCGGAAUUCGUCGUGUAGCGGUGAAAUGCUUAGAUAUGACGAAGAACCCCGAUUGCGAAGGCAGCUUGCUGCAGCGGAACUGACGCUGAUGCUCGAAAGCGCGGGUAUCGAACAGGAUUAGAUACCCCUGUAGUC
rnacentral:rRNA from 1 species